CGGAUUGUAGUCUGCAACCCGACUACAUGAAGCUGGAAUCGCUAGUAAUCGCGGAUCAGAAUGCCGCGGUGAAUACGUUCCCGGGUCUUGUACACACCGCCCGUCACACCAUGGGAGUCGAUAACGCCCGAAGCCGGUGACUCAACCGAAAGGAGAGAGCCGUCGAAGGCGGAUGGAUAACUGGGUGAAGUCGUAACAAGGUAUC
rnacentral:rRNA from 1 species